rnacentral:lncRNA from 1 species
CGGGAAAGGGAACCGAAUUUAGAAUUCCUUUAAAACCUUUACCUGGGCAGUGUAUCUUGGCCGUCCUAACCACCCAUGAGUGAUAUGGGCUCAGUUCACCUUGCUGAAAGGGGCGUAGUGCAUGUAGCCGCACGACCAGGGAAAUAUCCCAUGGUAUGACUAGUACAUCCCUCAAUAUAAAAUGUAACACACGUAUAUGGUCGUCAAGACGCUUUAUAUCGGCAAAUAUGAGUUUCCAGUUUUGGUCCCCUUGGGACCGCCAUAUUCCACGAUCUUGCUACACACCCCGC